rnacentral:rRNA from 1 species
AACGAACGCUGGCGGCAGGCUUAACACAUGCAGGUCGAACGCCCCGCAAGGGGAGUGGCAGACGGGUGAGUAACGCGUGGGAAUGUGCCCCAAGGUACGGAACAACACCGGGAAACUGGUGCUAAUACCGUAUGUGACCGAGGGGUGAAAGAUUUAUCGCCUUGGGAUCAGCCCGCGUUAGAUUAGCUAGUUGGUGAGGUAAUGGCUCACCAAGGCUACGAUCUAUAGCUGGUCUGAGAGGAUGAUCAGCCACACUGGGACUGAGACACGGCCCAGACUCCUACGGGAGGCAGCAGUGGGGAAUCUUGGACAAUGGGCGCAAGCCUGGUCCAGCCAUGCCGCGUGAAUGAUGAAGGCCUUAGGGUUGUAAAGUUCUUUCGUCGGGGACGAUAAUGACGGCACCCGAAGAAGAAGCCCCGGCUAACUUCGUGCCAGCCGCCGCAGUAAAAC